AACGAACGCUGGCGGCAUGCCUAACACAUGCAAGUCGAACGAGACCUUCGGGUCUAGUGGCGCACGGGUGCGUAACGCGUGGGAACCUGCCCUUAGGUUCAGAAUAACUCCCCGAAAGGGGUGCUAAUACCGGAUAAUGUCUUCGGACCAAAGAUUUAUCGCCUUUGGAUGGGCCCGCGUUGGAUUAGCUAGUUGGUAGGGUAAAAGCCUACCAAGGCGACGAUCCAUAGCUGGUCUGAGAGGAUGAUCAGCCACACUGGGACUGAGACACGGCCCAGACUCCUACGGGAGGCAGCAGUGGGGAAUAUUGGACAAUGGGCGAAAGCCUGAUCCAGCAAGGCCGCGUGAGUGAUGAAGGCCUUAGGGUUGUAAAGCUCUUUUAACCGGGAUGAUAAUGACAGUACCGGGAGAAUAAGCUCCGGCUAACUCCGUG
rnacentral:rRNA from 1 species